rnacentral:rRNA from 1 species
AGGGCGCACGGUGGAUGCCUUGGCACUAGGAGCCGAAGAAGGACGUGACAAACGACGAUAUGCCUUGGGUAGCUGUAAGUAAGCGAUGAUCCAGGGAUUUCCGAAUGGGGGAACCCAACAGGUAAUGCCUGUUACCCAUAUCUGUUAAGGAUAUGAGGAGGAAGACGCAGUGAACUGAAACAUCUAAGUAGCUGCAGGAAGAGAAAGCAAAAGCGAUUGCCUUAGUAGCGGCGAGCGAAACGGCAGGAGGGCAAACCGAAGAGUUUACUCUUCGGGGUUGUAGGACUGCAAUGUGGACUCAAAGACUAUAGAAGAAUGAUUUGGGAAGAUCAGCCAAAGAGAGUGAUAGCCUCGUAUUUAAAAUAGUCUUUGUACCUAGCAGUAUCCUGAGUACGGCGGGACACGAGAAAUCCCGUCGGAAUCUGGGAGGACCAUCUCCCAACCCUAAAUACUCCCUAGUGACCGAUAGUGAACCAGUACCGUGAGGGAAAGGUGAAAAGCACCCCGGGAGGGGAGUGAAAUAGAACCUGAAACCGUGUGCCUACAACAAGUUCGAGCCCGUUAAUGGGUGAGAGCGUGCCUUUUGUAGAAUGAACCGGCGAGUUACGAUAUGAUGCGAGGUUAAGUUGAAGAGACGGAGCCGUAGGGAAACCGAGUCUGAAUAGGGCGCAUUAGUAUUAUGUCGUAGACCCGAAACCAUGUGACCUACCCAUGAGCAGGUUGAAGGUGCGGUAAAACGCACUGGAGGACCGAACCAGGGCACGUUGAAAAGUGCUUGGAUGACUUGUGGGUAGCGGAGAAAUUCCAAACGAACUUGGAGAUAGCUGGUUCUCUCCGAAAUAGCUUUAGGGCUAGCGUCGACAUAGAGAUUCUUGGAGGUAGAGCACUGUUUGGGUGAGGGGUCCAUCCCGGAUUACCAAUCUCAGAUAAACUCCGAAUGCCAAUGAAUUAUGGUCGGCAGUCAGACUGCGAGUGCUAAGAUCCGUAGUCGAAAGGGAAACAGCCCAGACCACCAGCUAAGGUCCCAAAAUAAUUGUUAAGUGGAAAAGGAUGUGGGGUUGCACAGACAACUAGGAUGUUAGCUUAGAAGCAGCUAUUCAUUCAAAGAGUGCGUAAUAGCUCACUAGUCGAGUGACCCUGCGCCGAAAAUGUACCGGGGCUAAAACAAUUUACCGAAGCUGUGGAUACCUUUAUAGGUAUGGUAGGAGAGCGUUCUAUGUGUGAAGAAGGUAUACCGUGAGGAGUGCUGGAACGCAUAGAAGUGAGAAUGCCGGUAUGAGUAGCGAAAGACAGGUGAGAAUCCUGUCCACCGUAAGACUAAGGUUUCCAGGGGAAGGCUCGUCCGCCCUGGGUUAGUCGGGACCUAAGGAGAGACCGAAAGGUGUAUCCGAUGGACAACAGGUUGAUAUUCCUGUACUAGAGUAUGUAGUGAUGGAGGGACGCAGUAGGCUAACUAAAGCAGACGAUUGGAAGAGUCUGUCUAAGCAGUGAGGUGUGAAUUGAGUUAAAUGCUUAAUUCUAUAACAUUGAGCUGUGAUGGGGAGCGAAGUUUAGUAGCGAAGUUAGUGACGUCACACUGCCAAGAAAAGCUUCUAGCGUUUAAACAUACUCUACCCGUACCGCAAACCGACACAGGUAGUCGAGGCGAGUAGCCUCAGGUGAGCGAGAGAACUCUCGUUAAGGAACUCGGCAAAAUGACCCCGUAACUUCGGGAGAAGGGGUGCUGACUUAGGUCAGCCGCAGUGAAUAGGCCCAAGCAACUGUUUAUCAAAAACACAGCUCUCUGCUAAAUCGUAAGAUGAUGUAUAGGGGGUGACGCCUGCCCGGUGCUGGAAGGUUAAGAGGAGUGCUUAGCGCAAGCGAAGGUAUGAAUUGAAGCCCCAGUAAACGGCGGCCGUAACUAUAACGGUCCUAAGGUAGCGAAAUUCCUUGUCGGGUAAGUUCCGACCCGCACGAAAGGCGUAAUGAUUUGGGCACUGUCUCAACGAGAGACUCGGUGAAAUUUUAGUACCUGUGAAGAUGCAGGUUACCCGCGACAGGACGGAAAGACCCCAUGGAGCUUUACUG